CUUAAACAGAAUUGUAAAGCUAGUUGGAAGAUACGUGCUGUUUUGUUUUUUAAUGAACAGCACACAAUUUUAAGCUAACGUUAGCAUGCAAGUUGAUCCACACGAAUAAGCUUGCUAAAGUCGGCUUGUCUUUUGUCCGCUGUAGCAUCCAAGCUCUUGUAAGUUUAAGGCUUUCAUCAUGUUCAUUUUUCAUAUUUUUGAUCAUUAAUAGUACAUCUGUCAUUGAUGGCGACACAGAAAGCACUUGCGCUGGCGCAGAAAAAGGUUUUAUAUUUUUAUUUAGCAUUUUUCACCCCGACGAAAUGAACCACCAUGUAGAGCCUGUCGGCGUGCGUCCGGGAAUAAUCAAGUAAUUUAUGCCUUUUUGGCCCCCCUCGGGUGUCCCGCUCACAUCAAAGGGGCGGCGUGGUAUCUCGACCCGCGACGCCCUGCCUGGAGACACGGAGGACCGAGAAAUUUGAAAUUUCACAACUCGGCUCUACGCUGCUACACCUGGCAGGACUUCACUCACAUCAAGUGAUCUCCAAGUUUUGAAGAACCUUAAUGAUUUCGAGCCACGCUAAUGGAUGUUUUGGGAAGACCAAGUUGAGAGCCUGAAGACGCUAGUAAGAGGAAGAAGAAAAAAAAAAACAUCAAAGCCAGACGUUUGGUUUGGAGGACAGAAGAAGAAGAAGAAGACACAUGCUUGUCUUGUCUUUUAAGGUCUGCCAAGAGUUUAUUUGUUUUGGAUUAAUGUAAUUAUCCCCCCUAACCCCCAGCCCAAACCGAACCAACCCGGCCCAGCGCCCCCCCCCCCCACCCCUCCCCACUUUAACACAGUGAAGAUUGCACAAACAUCCCAGUAGCGCCACUGGAUUACAUUCGUGCUUUGUGUGGACGGCCGAGCAGCUGCUUUUGGGUUGUGUCCAAAAUAACAUUACAUACGGAUUGAAAAAGGCAUUAACACAAAGAUGGCUGCAUAACUCACUGGACACUUUAUUUGUCGCUCUGCUUUUAAAACACGACAGAUGCUCUAUUUUGGGUUAGUUAGUUUUUUGGGUUUUU